rnacentral:lncRNA from 1 species
ACAUUGUAGCACUAUCGACCAUAUGUAGCCAUGAUCUGAGUGACGUAACCCAAACAAACGAUCUCUGUCAAGAAACUGAAAAUUUAUCCACCCGCUAUACAGUGAAUAGAACUGAAAGUGUGAAAAGUGUGUUCAACCACCAUGCAACCUGAGAUGCUAUAAGAACUACUACCAUUACAUGCAAAAGUGCGGAGCAACCUGGAGAAGAGUUAAGCAGAGACAUCCGAGUAACUUCUCCAUUACUCAGCAACGCUGGUGAGUUUGCAUGUGUUAGGUUACGGGUAUUUCCCUGGGACUCCUCCAUCCUGUGGCGUGGCGGUAACAAUUGUUACACGAAUCUUUGAUUUC